rnacentral:lncRNA from 1 species
UGGGUACUAGGAAAAAUGUGAGGCGUCAGAUUUUAAGAAUACGGAACAGAUAGGGGAGGACUCAUACUAAUAAAAAAGGAGGAUGCUGAUAGGCCUCAGGCAGUAGGACCAAAUGAGGUAUUGUCAGAAAAUGUCCAGGGAAUCCAGCCUGCGGAAAAUACUACAGUGCCAACCCUCGGCAGCCCUACGAGCUCAGGUGAUAAUUAUACCAAGGAUUCUAUACCACCCUGAGGAUUAUAUGUACACCCAGCACACGGUGGCAAGUCAUCAUCUGGAAAGACGGGAACCAUUCACGGCUCUAACUUUGGCCACCCUAAUAAUCCUGGGAGGAGCUGGAGUGGGGACCAGGGUAGCCUCAUUGGUUAAACAAAAUCAAGAAUUUACUUCCUUACGCAUUGCUGUGGACGAGGACCUGACACAAAUUGAACAAUCCAUCUCGACCCUGGAAAAUCUAUCAGGUCGCUUUCAGAGGUAGUGUUACAAAAUCGUAGGGGAUUAGAUUUGGUAUUUUUUACAACAGGGCGGGCUGUGUGCAGCCCUGAAAGAGGAGUGCUGCGUGUAUGCUGAUCACACUGGAGAGGUAAGAGAUACAAUGGCAAGACCCAGGGAAAGGUUGGGAAAAAAAAAAAAAAAAAGAAACGGGAGAAUGAAGCCCAACAGAGCUGGUAUGAAUCUUGGUUUAAUUAUUCACCUUGGCUUACUACUUUAUUAUCAACAAUAACAGGACCUUUGUUGUUAUUAAUAAUAGCACUAACUUUUGGACCAUGUAUUUUUAAUAAAUUGAUUGCGAUUGUAAAGGUACGUUUAGAAGUGGCACAUUUAAUGCUCAUAAUGCCAAAUACGAGCCAAUAAGUACCAAUGAAGGAAUUGAGGAAACAUUAGUUCUUAGUAGCCAGGCAUUGCAGAGAUUCAAUGAACAAAAUGAGUAACUAAAAGAAAAAGGAGGGAUUGUAAUACACAGUAAAUGUUUGUUCAUUGUCUUUUGUAUUAUAAAAACAAGAAGUUCUGUUUGAGGAGCAGGAGUUGUGAGAGCUCCCUGCUGAAGUAAGGAGCUGUAUAAUACUUGGCUAGACACUAUGAAAAUUCUUUUGCUUAA